rnacentral:rRNA from 1 species
AUGAUUCGUGGGACGUCCUGCCGGUGGUGGCGAGUCGAAGGCGUGCAGCCUUAGUGGUUUCCACUUUGGGUCUUGUGCGCCGGAGGCGGACCCCGAUGAAAUCCUACCGCGGUGCUCUUUGCCGAGUGUCGAGGUGGGCCGGCACGUUUACUUUGAACAAAUUAGAGUGCUUAAAGCAGGCCUGUUGCGCCUGAAUACUGUGUGCAUGGAAUAAUGGAAUAGGACCUCGGUUCUAUUUUGUUGGUUUCGGAACCCGAGGUAAUGAUUAAUAGGGACAGGCGGGGGCAUUCGUAUUGCGACGUUAGAGGUGAAAUUCUUGGAUCGUCGCAAGACGGACCGAAGCGAAAGCAUUUGCCAAGUAUGUUUUCAUUAAUCAAGAACGAAAGUUAGAGGUUCGAAGGCGAUCAGAUACCGCCCUAGUUCUAACCAUAAACGAUGCCAGCUAGCGAUCCGCCGAAGUUCCUCCGAUGACUCGGCGGGCAGCUCCCGGGAAACCAAAGCUUUUGGGGUUCCGGGGGAAGUAUGGUUGCAAAGCUGAAACUUAAAGGAAUUGACGGAAGG